rnacentral:hammerhead_ribozyme from 1 species
AUUUUGGAGUCCCAAACAGGACGAAACGCGCGUCCUGGAU